CCCUUAGAUGUUCUGGGCCGCACGCGCGCUACACUGAUGCAUUCAACGAGCCUAUCCUUGACCGACAGGUCCGGGUAAUCUUUGAAUCUGCAUCGUGACGGGGAUAGAUUAUUGCAAUUAUUAAUCUUCAACGAGGAAUGCCUAGUAGGCGCAAGUCAUCAGCUUGCGUCGAUUACGUCCCUGCCCUUUGUACACACCGCCCGUCGCUCCUACCGAUUGGGUGUGCUGGUGAAAUGUUCGGAUCGGCCGUUUGUCGCGGUUUCCGCGUCAUGUGGCUGAGAAGUUAAUUAAACCCUACCACCUAGAGGAAGGAGAAGUCGUAACA
rnacentral:rRNA from 1 species